AUAGCUAGCCUCGUACUCGGAAUCG
rnacentral:miRNA from 1 species